GGACCGUGGCUCAGGGGCAGAGCAUCUGUUUAGCAUGCAGAAGGUGACAGGUUCAAGCCCCAGCAUCUCCA
rnacentral:tRNA from 1 species